rnacentral:rRNA from 1 species
AAGUGGGGGACCGUUUAGGCCUCACACCUUCGGAUGAACCCAUAUGAGAUUAGCUAGUAGGUGGGAUAAAGGCUCACCUAGGCGACGAUCUCUAGCUGGUCUGAGAGGAUGAUCAGCCACACUGGGACUGAGACACGGCCUAGACUCCUACGGGAGGCAGCAGUGGGGAAUAUUGCACAAUGGGCGCAAGCUUGAUGCAGCCAUGCCGCGUGUAUGAAGAAGGCCUUAGGGUUGUAAAGUACUUUCAGUUGUGAGAAAGGUGCUAAAAUUAAUAAUUUUAGCAAUUGACGUUAACGACAGAAGAAGCACCGGCUAACUCCGUGCCAGCAGCCGCGGUAAUACGGAGGGUGCAAGCGUUAAUCGGAAUUACUGGGCGUAAAGGGCACGCAGGCGGUUAAUUAAGUUGGAUGUGAAAUCCCUGGGCUUAACCUAGGAAUGGCAUUCAAGACUGGUUAGCUAGA